rnacentral:rRNA from 1 species
UACGGGGGGGGCAAGCGUUGUUCGGAAUUACUGGGCGUAAAGCGCGCGCAGGCGGUCCUUUAAGUCUGAUGUGAAAGCCCACGGCUCAACCGUGGAGGGUCAUUGGAAACUGGGGAACUUGAGUACAGAAGAGGAAAGCGGAAUUCCACGUGUAGCGGUGAAAUGCGUAGAGAUGUGGAGGAACACCAGUGGCGAAGGCGGCUUUCUGGUCUGUAACUGACGCUGAGGCGCGAAAGCGUGGGGAGCAAACAGG